UCCUCCAGGGCUGGGAAGAGGAAGAAGGGUCAGACCUCCCCAGAGAAGGAGGUGUGAGGCCAACGCUGAAGAUGCUGCUGCUCCUGCUGCUUCUGGGGCCCACAGGCUCUGGGCUUGGUGCUCAUGUCUCUCAACAUCCAAGCAGGGCCAUCUGUGAGAGUGGGACCUCUGUGAAGAUCGAGUGUCGCUUUGUGGACUUCCAGGCCUCAACUGUGUUUUGGUACCGUCAGUUCCCCAAACAGGGCUUUGUCCUGAUGGCAACCUCUAAUGUGGGAUCUGAGGGCACCCACGAACAAGAUUUUGAAAAGGAAAAGUUUCCCAUCAGUCACCCAAACCUCAACUUUGCAUCUCUGAUGUUGAACAACGCACAUUCUACAGACAGCAGCUUCUACUUCUGUGCUGGUGACACAGUGCUGGGUGGAAGUCAGAGACCUAGGCAAGAAGGGUUGCAGCAGCCUGCCCUCCCCCACCAAAGACCCCAGGGGCCUUGUGGGAGGAGCCUGGGGAAGGAACACCACAGCUUCUGUGAAUUAGAACUCUGGGAGCAUGUGUGUCUAGACCUAGAAAAAUGGGAAUCAAGUGACCAACUGACAUGGAAAGUUCCCCCAUAUCUCAAGACCUAG